UACAGAGGGUGCGAGCGUUAAUCGGAAUUACUGGGCGUAAAGCGUGCGUAGACGGUUAUUUAAGUCGGAUGUGAAAGCCCCGGGCUCAACCUGGGAAUUGCAUUCGAGACGGAAUAGCUAGGGUGCGGUAGAGGGAAGCGGAAUUUCCGGUGUAGCGGUGAAAUGCGUAGAUAUCGGAAGGAACAUCAGUGGCGAAAGCGGCUUCCUGGACCAGCACCGACGUUCAGGCACGAAAGCGUGGGGAGCAAACAGG
rnacentral:rRNA from 1 species